rnacentral:lncRNA from 1 species
AUUUUUACCAGGCCGCACCACUUCCAGUAAACAUGAUAUCCUUCCACUUUCCUGGAUUGAUAUCCCCAAAAGAUGCAAGAUUUUUUUUAAGUCUAUAUAUAUGUUUCAAUUCAGCAUAAACCUAUAAUCAAACAGAAAAAAAUUGAGUUCAGAAAAAAAUUCAGAAAAAAAUGCACUAUUUUGUUUCCCUCCAUGUUUUGACAUGCACCGGAAACUGGAGUUGUAAAACAAGACUGGUACCUUAAG